rnacentral:miRNA from 10 species
GUUUAUGCAAUAUGUAGGCUGGUGCAAAAGUAAUUGCGGUGUUUGUCACUAAAAGUAAUUGCAAAAACUGCAAUUACUUUUGCACCAAUCUAAUAAAUUUUCA